rnacentral:rRNA from 1 species
CAGGCCUAACACAUGCAAGUCGAACGGUAAGGCUCUUUCGGGAGUACACGAGUGGCGAACGGGUGAGUAACACGUGAGCAACCUGCCCUUGACUUUGGGAUACCAGCUGGAAACAGCUGCUAAUACCGGAUAUGACCUUGUUUUGCAUGAUUCGAGGUGGAAAGCUCCGGCGGUCAGGGAUGGGCUCGCGGCCUAUCAGCUUGUUGGUGAGGUAAUGGCUCACCAAGGCUUCGACGGGUAGCCGGCCUGAGAGGGCGACCGGCCACACUGGGACUGAGAUACGGCCCAGACUCCUACGGGAGGCAGCAGUGGGGAAUAUUGGACAAUGGGCGAAAGCCUGAUCCAGCAAUGCCGCGUGAGUGAUGAAGGCCUUAGGGUUGUAAAGCUCUUUUACCCGGGAUGAUAAUGACAGUACCGGGAGAAUAAGCUCCGUCUAACUCCGUGCCAGCAGCCGCGGUAAU